AAUGGUCCAUUUGUGUUUUGGUUUCAUUCCAAUGAGAAUUUCGUGGGGCCCACUGGUGCUCAGGUGAUGAACAGAAAAUGAAGUUCCCAGAUAUGACCAUUGGGAUGUAUUUUCUUUCUGAUUGCUCUGUGCAAGCUGAUUAUCAGUUCAGCUAGGAUUUGCAGCAUCAACCAUUCACAGUAAGGCCCGCCGGAUGAACAGGGUCACUUAAAGCGAUCGCUGCUAUGUCUUCCAUUUCUUGAAAAGGUGAUCUCCGGUAACCAAACACGAGUUCACAUGCAUUCAACACCUGCUGUCUUCCAUCCAUCGUAACAAUCUCAAUGCUGUCAAUACUAUUUGCCGUCUCUUGUCCAUCAGCUCCCGCAUUCAUGUAUACAGCUCCGCCGACAGUUCCUGGAAUGCCACCGGCGAAUUCAAGUCCCGUGAAUCCAUCAUUUGAGCAUUGGAUGCCCAAUCGAUUAAAUGGGUAGCCGCUUCCAGCUCUGUAAACGCCGGGUCCAAUCCUCUCGAGGAAAUCUAUUCGAUUCAGUAUGAUACAACCAUUGAAGCCACGGUCGUCGAAGAGGCAGUUCGAGCCUUUACCGAUAAUCAGAAACUGUAUAGAUCGCAAUCGACAAUAUCUGUAUGUUGAAUGCUGAAUUGGGUAAGGAUGGGUUAA